GUAGGUGGCAAGCGUUGUCCGGAAUUAUUGGGCGUAAAGCGCGCGCAGGCGGUUCUUUAAGUCUGAUGUGAAAGCCCACGGCUCAACCGUGGAGGGUCAUUGGAAACUGGAGGACUUGAGUACAGAAGAGGGAAGCGGAAUUCCACGUGUAGCGGUGAAAUGCGUAGAGAUGUGGAGGAACACCAGUGGCGAAGGCGGCUUUCUGGUCUGUAACUGACGCUGAGGCGCGAAAGCGUGGGGAGCAAACAGGAUUAGAUACCCUGGUAGUCCACGCCGUAAACGAUGAGUGCUAAGUGUUAGGGGGUUUCCGCCCCCCUUAGUGCUGCAGCUAACGCAUUAAGCACUCCGCCUGGGAGUACGGCCGCAAGGCUG
rnacentral:rRNA from 1 species